rnacentral:misc_RNA from 1 species
UGGUUCUGGCAUCGAUGAAGAACGCAGCGAAAUGCGAUAAGUAAUGCGAAUUGCAGAAUUCCAGUGAGUCAUCGAAUCUUUGAACGCACAUUGCGCCCUUUGGUAUUCCGAAGGGCAUGCCUGUUCGAGCGUCAUUAUCACCCCUCGAGCCCCUGGGCUUGACGUUGGACGGUCUAGGUCGCGCGAAUCGACCCCUCCUAAAGAUAAUGACGGUGGCCUCCGUUGGACCCCGGUACGCUGAGCCCCUUGUGGCAUGUGUCGGAUUAGGGACUUCAGGCCCCGGUCGCCCUUUUCUCCGCCAUCUCGGUGGCGGGAAAAGAACCCAUUUUCUAAGGUUGACCUCGGAUCAGGUAGGAAUACCCGCUGA